rnacentral:rRNA from 1 species
UACGAAGGGUGCAAGCGUUAAUCGGAAUUACUGGGCGUAAAGCGCACGUAGGCGGCUUCUUAAGUCGGUGGUGAAAUCCUGGAGCUCAACUCCAGAACUGCCUUCGAUACUGGGAAGCUCGAGUCCGGGAGAGGUGAGUGGAACUGCGAGUGUAGAGGUGAAAUUCGUAGAUAUUCGCAAGAACACCAGUGGCGAAGGCGGCUCACUGGCCCGGUACUGACGCUGAGGUGCGAAAGCGUGGGGAGCAAACAGG